AACGAGAGUCAGAGAAAAAAAGAAAUUAAAUAAGUGGUUCUAAACUGCUGAGCAUUACUGAUCUUUCAUAAGUUCUUAAACGUAUCAGAAAAGCUAAAAGUUAUUUUUUUUAAAUAGCUUUUAAUACUGGAGCAGGAUUAGAGUGGUUAAUGGCAAGUGUUAGGUAAAUAUUACUGAAACAGAGAGAUACAGAACAAACCCAACUUUCCAUGUGAUAUACAUUUAUAUCAGCACUGCUAUCUGCAAAUUCAUCAGAUCCAGCAAUUGUCCAGUCCUCGUUCCCUUCUACCCAGUAUCUUCACAAAAAAAAAAAAGAAAGAAAGAAAAGGAAGAAAGAAAAGAAAAGCAAGGCCUAGAAAAUUGACAAGCCCUAAAUUUUUUUUAAAUUUUUUUAUUUUUGAGAGAGACAGAGUGCAAGCAGGGGAGGGGCAGAGAGAGAGAGAGAGAGACAGACAGAAAGACAGACAGACAGACACAGAGUCCGAAGCAGGCUCCAGGCUCUAAGCUGUCAGCACAGAGCCCGACAUGGGGCUCAAACUCACAAACCGUGAGAUCAUGACCUGAGCCGAAGCUGGACACUUAACCGACUGAGCCACCCAGGUGCCCCUAAAAUUUUUUCUUAACUGAUGGAAGAAGGGGAGUCAAGAGUAUGGCUGUCAACUAUUCUCAAUGAGGGGCACUCAAUGGAGCAUUUUGUGUGGUGGUUCUGACUAGAGGGACCUGUCAUAUUCACAUUUAAUCUGUAACUGCAGUCAUGUGGUGAACCACACUGCUGCCAAGAAUAGCAGUGAGCCGAAUGCACGGUUGGGAGUCAAAUUACAAAGGCAAAUCUGUAUUCUCUUCAGAUCAUCUGUCGAGGUCUUCAAGAACCUCUUUCUGGACCCUUGCAUCUCCAUUGCAACCAGAGUGGAAGGCGGUGGUAGAAGGAGAAGUAGAAUGUUUCCUUGUUAGAGGCAGCCUGAGAAGACCCGCACUGUGCAGUAGAAGAGGGAAGUGUGCUGAUGGAAUGAAAAGCACCUGAAUGUGGAGUGCAAGCUGGGCGGUGGCAAGAGAAGCAUCGGAGAGGUAAGCAAGGAUGAAUUCACGAAGCCCAAUGGAGGAGUUUCAGCACUAUGGUGAGGUGUCUCAAGAACACUACAAAUUAUAGGCAGCAGAGUAAGGCGAUCAGAUUUGCCUGUGAAAGGAAGAACUUCAGUGGUACCAUAAUGAAUAGAUUUUAGGAAGGCCAUCCACCCCGGACGCUCUGAGGGCAAUAAGGAGACAUAUGGCUUUGGAGUCCAACAGACCCGUGCUCUGAUCCUGACUCUGCUAUUUAAAAGCCCUAUGGGGGCGCAUGGGUGGCUCAGUCGGUUGAGCGUCCGACUUAGGCUCAGGUCAUGAUCUCACCCUUCGUGAGUUCGAGCCCCAUGUCGGGCUCUGGGCUGAUGGCUCAGAGCCUGGAGCCUGCUUCCGAUUCUGUGUCUCCCUCUCUCUCUGCCCCUCCCCCGUUCAUGCUCUGUCUCUCUCUGUCCCAAAAAUAAAUAAACGUUAAAAAAAAUUUUUUUUAAAAAU
rnacentral:lncRNA from 1 species